rnacentral:rRNA from 1 species
CCUACGGGAGGCUGCAGUGGGGGAUCUUGCACAAUGGGGGGAACCCUGAUGCAGCGACGCCGCGUGGGUGAAGGAGUGCUUCGGCAUGUAAAGCUCUAUCGGCAGGGAAGAAGCAAGACGGUACCUGACUAAGAAGCCCCGGCUAACUACGUGCCAGCAGCCGCGGUAAUACGGAGGGGGCGAGCGUUAUCCGGAUUCACUGGGGGUAAAGGGAGCGUAGGCGGCCAUGCAAGCCAGGGGUGAAAGCCCGCGGCCCAACCCCGGAACUGCCCUUGGGACUGGAUGGCUGGAGUGCGGAAGGGGCAGGCGGAAUUCCAGGUGUAGCGGUGAAAUGCGUAGAUAUCAGGAGGAACACCGGCGGCGAAGGCGGCCUGUUGGACCGCGACUGACGUUGAGGCGCGAAAGCGUGGGGAGCGAACAGGAUUAGAUACCCCUGUAGUC